AACGUAGGAGACGAACGUUAUCCGGAGUUACUGGGCGUAAAGGGCGUGCAGGCGGUCUGAUAAGUUCGGCGUGAAAUAUUCCGGCUUAACCGGGAUAGGUCGUCGGAGACUGUCGGACUAGAGGGUGAUAGAGGCGUGUGGAAUUCCGGGUGUAGUGGUGAAAUGCGUAGAUAUCAGGAGGAACACCGGUGGUGUAAACGGCUUUCUGGACCAUAACUGACGCUGAGGCACGAAAGCGUGGGUAGCAAACAGG
rnacentral:rRNA from 1 species